CUGUGUACCCACCCACAGAUAUACUAAAAUUGGAAUGAUCUAGAGAAGAUUAGCAUGGCCCCUGAGCAAGGAUGACACGCAAAUUCAUGAAAAUACAAAAGUGAGG
rnacentral:snRNA from 1 species